AAGCCUAUACUUCCGGGGAUCAUUUCUAUAGUUUGUGACCUAGAAUAAAGGUAGAAAACUGCCUGAUCCAAGGA
ensembl:snoRNA U3 Small nucleolar RNA U3